UCGACAAAGUGUUCAUCGAUGGAUGAAUUUUUUGAAAGGGGGGUGAAAAUUUUGCUCGAAUCACCCUAAAAUGAGAGUGUGUGCGUGGCUCGCUGUAUCGCGAUAGAGUUCGGCGUGUGUCGAAUGAAUGUUCAAAAAGGUCGUAGUAGGCUAAAAACCUGUCUUUCUGUUUUCGCUCGGUCGUUGUACAUUUUCAUACGGGAAUAGUUCGUGAAUUGUGGAUUGCGUCAGUUCGUGGACUGUUUAUUCGAUUGUGGAAUAGUGUUUGCCAAGUUGUUCCAGUUCUAGUUCUAAAAGGAUAUUCCUGUGCCGGCACUGGUAAGUUGUACCGCCAGCGUGAUAACCUGUUGGAGCAGACUUCGGCUGAAUACGACGAUGCAGAGGCAGGACAAACUGUUUCAAGACAUUUGAAAAGCGACGCGUGGGAACAUAUGGCCACAGUUAACGGUCCUCAUAUCUAGUUUUUGUGUACACAAACUCAGGAAGCAGGGAGGAUCAAGAAGCUGGAUUCAAGUGCCGUAGUGUGAAAUACUUCGUCAAAGGAGAAAAGCGCGUGUUUUCUAACAACUGUGCCCAUGCGUCCCUUUGGCCUACUGCUUCAAAGUUGACAUUCAUACUUCUUGGUGGUUGCUCUCGGACAGAGCGUACGAAUCGCUAGAAGCAUCUUUUCCGCGUCAUUUGAAAGGAACAAAUUAUUGAACAUGGUCGUGAUUAUCCAGUUCUAUGAUCCACCUGCCAAUGGAAGUGAAAGACAAGCCAACCUUAGUAUUGGUUGUUUUUGCUGCUGAUCGGUUCUAAAUCGGAUAGUGGAAACCGCUCUUGUUGACACUCUACAUAGGCGCUGGAUUGCAUUUUUCUUCGCUCUGCUCAUAGUGCGUGACCUUGGUUUGUUGUGGCAAUCUAUCAGUCAAUUAACAGUCCCUUCAGGUAAGUAUUGUCCAUUCUUUUGGACGAUUGUUGUAUUGUUUUACGUAUGUAUAUCUAAUGAAGCAUACUUUUUCAGGCAAAACACGUUCAGUCCUCCGUACACAUCUGGUUUCCGUAAGAAUUACGCCUCAAAUUCGAAGGAGACAAUGUUCUAUCUGCACCUAGCACCUCUACAAACCGUGACCGAUAAAGCUAGCCUUUGAUCCUCCGUCUAGGAUAAAAUACUGCGCCAAAGUUGAAGGUCGGUCGAAUCAUAAACUAACUAAGGUAAGUAAUAUGUUAUACUUUUAAAAAAUUGUAGAGAAAAUAAUCAAUAAUUUUAUUUCUUCUUGCACAUGUACAGGAAUCGCCACUCGUUAUGAGAUUAUUAUUGGUUGGAACCUUGUUUUUCGCCGUUUGUUAUACGUAAGUAUGCCUAAAUAAAACGUUUGUUAAUGCUUAACUAACAUACGUAUUUUUAUCUCUUCCAUAUCGGUCUUAGAUUCUAUUUGCAGAUACAAAAUGGAGUGAAAUAUGCAAAAAAUCGCGUGAUAAUGCGGUCAAAAUAAAAUCCAGAUCGCACACGAUAACAAACUCAAAGGCACGAUGUUAGUUUGUUUCGAAACACGCUGAAAAUUUCAUUGAAAAUUUUCGCCAGGACCUAUUUGAUUGAUGUAGGAUAUGAAUCUCUUCGAAACUUGAUCUUGGAAGGGAGAAAAUGUCCACGAUGAUGUAUUGUUUAUGCUGCACCGAUCGAAACAGACCGCGUGAUUAUGAAAACGGUAACAAAUCGUGGGCAGAAUAAUGUGGACCAGGAUUAGAAACCCAUGGCUAAGCUGGCGCAGAAUACGAGCGUUGAAAAUUGUACGCUGUCUGGAUGGAUGCUGGAUUUUUUCUGGGGUAUGGUCUAAAACUAUGUAGAUAAUAAGAAUAGAAAAAAGGUAUGAAGCGUAAGAUAUUGAUAUUAUUAUGGUUCUAAAACACUACAUGUUAAUUGUUAUCUUUUUACGCUUGCCAUAAAACCAGGAAAAAUAAAAAAAUAAUAUUAUAUUUGUUAAAAACAAAAAAUGUUUUCAUUGCACCGUUGAAAAUCAACGGUGCGGAAAGAACGAUUGAAAAUGAACAUUACAGCGUAAAAAUGAACCUAACGAAAACGCGCUCAUGAAAUAAUGAAUCUCACGCACACACUCUCAAAAAACGGCUUCACAAGAUCUGCUGUGAAGCUUUUGUGAAGCCGCUUGUGAAGCCGUGAAUUUUACUCGAAAUUCACU